rnacentral:rRNA from 1 species
CGUAGGGACCGAGCGUUGUCCGGAUUCAUUGGGCGUAAAGAGCUCGUAGGCGGCUGCUCAAGUCGAAUGUGAAACCUCGAGGCUUAACCUCGAGCUUGCAUUCGAUACUGGGCGGCUAGAGUCUGGUAGGGGGAUCUGGAAUUCCUGGUGUAGCGGUGGAAUGCGCAGAUAUCAGGAGGAACACCGGUGGCGAAGGCGGGAUCCUGGGCCAGUACUGACGCUGAGGAGCGAAAGCGUGGGGAGCAAACAGGAUUAGAUACCCUGGUAGUCCACGCCGUAAACGAUGGGCGCUAGGUGUGGGAGGUCAUCGACUCCUUCCGUGCCGCAGCUAACGCAUUAAGCGCCCCGCCUGGGGAGUACGGCCGCAAGGCUA